AGAGUUUGAUCCUGGCUCAGGACGAACGCUGGCGGCGUGCCUAAUACAUGCAAGUCGAACGAAGCUUUCUUUCACCGAAUGCUUACAUUCACCGAAAGAAGCUUAGUGGCGAACGGGUGAGUAACACGUAGGCAACCUGCCCAAAAGAGGGGGAUAACACUUGGAAGCAGGUGCUAAUACCGCAUAACCAUGAACACCGCAUGAUGUUCAUGUAAAAGACGGCUUUUGCUGUCACUUUUGGAUGGGCCUGCGGCGUAUUAACUUGUUGGUGGGGUAACGGCCUACCAAGGCGAUGAUACGUAGCCGAACUGAGAGGUUGAUCGGCCACAUUGGGACUGAGACACGGCCCAAACUCCUACGGGAGGCAGCAGUAGGGAAUCUUCCACAAUGGACGAAAGUCUGAUGGAGCAACGCCGCGUGAAUGAAGAAGGCCUUCGGGUCGUAAAAUUCUGUUGUCAGAGAAGAACGUGCGUGAGAGUAACUGUUCACGUAUUGACGGUAUCUGACCAGAAAGCCACGGCUAACUACGUGCCAGCAGCCGCGGUAAUACGUAGGUGGCGAGCGUUGUCCGGAUUUAUUGGGCGUAAAGGGAACGCAGGCGGUCUUUUAAGUCUGAUGUGAAAGCCUUCGGCUUAACCGAAGUAGUGCAUUGGAAACUGGAAGACUUGAGUGCAGAAGAGGAGAGUGGAACUCCAUGUGUAGCGGUGAAAUGCGUAGAUAUAUGGAAGAACACCAGUGGCGAAAGCGGCUCUCUGGUCUGUAACUGACGCUGAGGUUCGAAAGCGUGGGUAGCAAACAGGAUUAGAUACCCUGGUAGUCCACGCCGUAAACGAUGAGUGCUAAGUGUUGGAGGGUUUCCGCCCUUCAGUGCUGCAGCUAACGCAUUAAGCACUCCGCCUGGGGAGUACGGUCGCAAGACUGAAACUCAAAGGAAUUGACGGGGGCCCGCACAAGCGGUGGAGCAUGUGGUUUAAUUCGAAGCAACGCGAAGAACCUUACCAGGUCUUGACAUCUUCUGACGAUUCCAGAGAUGGAACGUUCCCUUCGGGGACAGAAUGACAGGUGGUGCAUGGUUGUCGUCAGCUCGUGUCGUGAGAUGUUGGGUUAAGUCCCGCAACGAGCGCAACCCUUAUUGUCAGUUGCCAUCAUUAAGUUGGGCACUCUGGCGAGACUGCCGGUGACAAACCGGAGGAAGGUGGGGAUGACGUCAAAUCAUCAUGCCCCUUAUGACCUGGGCUACACACGUGCUACAAUGGACGGUACAACGAGUCGCUAACUCGCGAGGGCAAGCUAAUCUCUUAAAGCCGUUCUCAGUUCGGAUUGCAGGCUGCAACUCGCCUGCAUGAAGUCGGAAUCGCUAGUAAUCGCGAAUCAGCAUGUCGCGGUGAAUACGUUCCCGGGCCUUGUACACACCGCCCGUCACACCAUGAGAGUUUGUAACACCCAAAGUCGGUGGGGUAACCUUUUGGAGCCAGCCGCCUAAGGUGGGACAGAUGAUUGGGGUAAAGUCGUAACAAGGUA
rnacentral:rRNA from 1 species